rnacentral:lncRNA from 1 species
CAUAAUUGUAAAUGAAAUGAAAUAACUACAGGCUGCUCUCUGUUUCCCACUCAGUUUUCACCAUCAAUGGGAAACACUCACUUAAGAGAAACAGGUGGCUGUCCUUAAACUCUGGAAAGCACCCCAAGGAGCAGUAUGGCCUGGCGACGCUGGUUUGGUGUCUUUCAGGAGUAUGAUGGGAACAUCACCCAGUCAGGGGAUGGCGACACCACCUGGUGAUGUGUUGGGGAGCCCCGGGGGCAGGAGAAGAACAGUGACCUCAGUAGGCACCCGGGACGCUAUCUAAGGUGCAGCAUUGGCUGGGCAUCCCCCACGUGGAACAGGCUUAUUUGGAAGACAGACUCACUCACAAAGCAAGAGAACAGGAUAAAAUGCUGGAGAAUCCCCUGCUAGAUUGGGUGAGACAGAUGGAAGAUACAACCACUUUCCAAAAACACACCUUCAAAAAUAUUUCUGGUGAUUUCUGAGUGGUAGGAAAAGAGCUAAGGAAAAAUAGUUCCACAAAAAUCCAGCUUUAUUGAUUUAAAAGUAGUGAUUGUCAAACUUAAUCGUGUGUCAGAAUCACCUGGAAGUCCUAUCAGAACGCUCCCAGAGGUUCUGAUUCUGUGGGUCGGUGGCGCCUGCGAAUGUGCAUCUCUAACAAGCUCUCAGGUGGUGCUGAUGCUGCUGGUCGGGUGACCGCACCUGAAGAACCACUGACCCAGCGUUUCACAGUCUCUCUCUGAUAGUGCUGUUAUCCGAGCUUCUUGAAGUCGAAUCCUGCUUUUUCUGGGUUUCUUUGGCAUUUUCUGACUGUUACACGUGGUAAAUAAUUUCCUUGUGUGUUUUGGAAAUUUAGAUUCUCAAAUGAUCUUCACUAGACUUUGCUUUUUGCCAUGUUUGUUCCUGGCAGUCCUGCGUGGACUGCGUCAGAGGCAUCUCUCGCCAAAAAGAUUUGAACAGUUUUCUUAAGCAAACUUUUUAUUGAAGCAUAACAUCAUGCCAAAAACCACACAUGUUAUAAGUCCUCAAGGAAGCUGUGACCUAAUAAGGGCAGUGAGGCAGAGCUCAGUGUCCCAAGAAGAGAUGACAAGGGCAAGGCUGUUGAUGCCUCAGAAAACUCCGCUGUGUGCUCCUGAGAGAAGGAGAGCAGGAAGGCAAAGAACGUUUCUGAAAGUGGACCACACUGCCAGAACCGUGGACUCGGGGCCUUCUGAAGUUGGUUAUGUACCUAACCAGAGGGUCUUAACUGAGGCAGUGGUUGACCUGUCAGCCCCAGGAAUAUGGCUUUGAUUUGCUAACAGGUCCUAAUGAAGUUAUUUAUGAAUACAUGAAUAAUCCUUUACGGUAGGAAUGUAGUUGCCACCCUAAACCUCACCUAUUGAUUUCCUGAUGUUUAGUAGAUGGUAGUCACUUAAGGAGCCUUAAUGUGGACACCAUACUCACACACACACACACACACACACACACGCACGCACGUGAGUGCACAGGUGUACAUAGGAAGAGAAGCUGAUGAAAUGUUCAAGGUGGCCAUAAUUGCAGUGUUAUGUCUUCUUUUUAGCUAUUUUUUAAACUAGAUACUGUCAGAAUUGAGUUGAAUUGUAAACAAGUGAUUCAUGCCCAUUGUAGGAAACUUAGGAAAUGCCGGUGGCCGAAGGGAAAGACUGCUUACCCUUAUUCCGCUCCCGCAGGGUUGUCUCUGACAGCAUUUUGGCUAUAGCCUUCUGUGCAGAUACGUUUGUUUUAAAACAAAAGUAGAAACACACUGCACAUAAUUUUUAGAGGCUUGCUUUUUAAUAUUUUACAAUAUUUAUAAGUAUAUAUCCCUCUAAGUAACAUAUACUUCUAUAAUAUUUUUUAAAAGGCUGCUUUCUGUACUCUGUCAUAUAAAUAUAUCCUAAUUUAUUUAACAAACCUCUGAUUGUACAUUUAGUUUGUGUUUUAUUUUGCUAUGAUUAUACAUCUUUGUACCCAUUACCAAUCUGUUUUAACAUAGCUUUUUUAAUGAAAAAUUUCAAGCAAUCGCAAAAGUAGAGAGUGAGGUGGGGAACUCCUGCUUACCCACCACCAGCCUCAGUAAUGACGAGUGUGUCAUCAUCUGUGUCCCCUCCCGCCCCUGCUGGAUUCGAUGCAAAUCUAAGCUCUCAUAUAAUUUCUUCCGUAAAUACUUCAGAAUGUGUUUCUAGAAGAUUAGGGCUCUCUCUUGUUUUAGUAACCUGACCACCAUUCCAUUAUCAAUCUAUAAAAAUUAAUAAUAAUUCUACUCAAAAGAAUUGAAAGCAGGGUCUUGAAGAGGUAUUUGUAUACUCGUGUUCACAGCAGCGUUAUUCGCAACUGCC